UUUCAGCCGCAUACAUCUACCUCUUCCCUCCCAAACCUCUACAUUUUAUCCGUAUCACACACACGCAAACACAAAGAAUGGAACCUUAUCCUUCUUUCACCUUAUCCUCUCAAACACACAUACAUAACACAUAUUCAUCCCUAAAACCCCUUUGUCUCCUCUCCCUCGUCGUCUGUUUGGCAGCCACACCGGCCGGCUGUCGGAGCCAAGUUUCUGGCCACACCCCUGCACAUCCUCAUCCAAACCCCCUUAUUCCUACACACCCCUCCUCCCUCAUAAACCUCCUGUUUACCCUCUCUAAAUGUCGACCGGUCACCACCAUCACAUGGUGGCGACGGGCGGAAGCAGUAACGACAUCAUCACCACCACAGGCGGCGCUGUGGUGGGUGGUGUCGGUUGAUGUUCGAGCAGGGGAGUUAGAGAGAGAGAGAGAGAGAGAUAGAGCGAAGAGAGAGGAAGACACAGGAGAGAGAGAGAGAGAGAGAGAGAGAGAGAUGGAGGGAGAUUGUCGGCGAAGAGAAACACGACGGUGGAGGUCAACUGCGCCGAUCAGAUUCGAGCCAGCAGCCGCAUUCUUUUUCCGUUGAGGUUCGUUUCAGCGGUGUUAUUGGGGGAUGACAGACAAGGCGGUGGUGGUGCGGCUCAGAUGGCAGUCGACGGCAGUGAUGAUGGUGAAGUUUUGGUUCAAGAUUUGGUUUUUCGUUUGGUCAACUUCGGUCCACAAUCGGUUCGGGUUAGAUUUGUUACGGGUGCGGGUUUGUUUCGGAUUAAAUUGUAAGAAAACAAGUAUGUUUGAUUUGGGUUUUCAUGGAAGUUUUGGGUCAACCAUAGAUUUUCGGGUCAACCACAGUUCGGGUCACGGUUCGGUUCGGGUCUCGGGAUUCGGGUCAGUUUUGGAACUCGGUCAGCCGCGGUCAACAGGUCAAGGUGGUCAACCCGGGUCAAACCAUGUUAACUCAGUUAACUCCGUUAACUCGGUCAACGCAGUUAACUUAGUCAAACCGAGUCAACUCAGCCGAUCAACUCAGUCAACAAUAACGACACGAAGAUGUGUAAAGUCUAGCGACGCGAUGAAUAUUUACGUUCUUUUUAUGGUUUAAAUUUUACGUGGAAAACGAGCUCGAGCCGAUUCGAUUAGAAUAUAGUUUACGUUUUGAUAUAUUUGACAAAAUUUUAUAUCUUAUGAUUGAAUCUUGUUGAAUUUUGAAAAAUAACGACAACUUGUGUUGUCGGGGGCGUCCAAAAACAGAGGAAACUCUGCCCAUUUUCCGAGAAAAUCCGUAAACGAAACAUGUUUUUAUUAUAAAACAAAAACUAUCGUUAUCAAGCAACUUAUAAUAAAAACAAAUACAAACUAAUAUUAUUUUCGACGACACCUAUUCGGAUUCGAAGUAAACUACGAAACUAUUAUAAUUAUCACAAUUGUUUUAAACUAAACGAUGAUUUGGAAAUCAUUUAUAACAAUAAAUAUAGUUAUUUAUAUAUAGUCUAAUUUUCAACAUGCUUAUGCAAUAUGGUCUUGUACCUUAUGCUUUAAGACUUUGUUGUACUUUACUUUUUUUUUCCUAUUCCUAACAUGACACGUGCUCAUACAGAUGUCUUCUCACUAAUUCCCUUUUAACUCACAGAGAGAGAAAACCUAAGAGAGAUAGAGAGAGAACCUGAGGGCAAGAGAGAGAGAGACGAAUGUCCGGUCACGCUUUUGGCAAUGGUCACUAAGAUAUCCGGCGAGUUACCCCUGGCCGCCUUCUACCCCUUCAUUUAUACCCUCGGGAAAGACGCAUGUGCGAAGUAUCCUUCUUCCCUGUGGUUCACAGACUCGCACCCCUACAACCCCAAAAUCAUCUUCAUUGUAGAAUCUUACUGCUUAAAUCUUAGGUUUGAGAAAGUUUCAAUCAGCCUUAACACAGAGAUCUGGAGGUUGCAAAUCGGUUUCUGACAAGGUUAAAACCACCUAUUGAUGACACAUGGGUCGUCUCCGGGCAGUCCAGCGACGCUAGGCAUAGGUUAUCGACAAUGUUGUAGUCAUGGAAGAACUUGGGUUCUAAAGUAGCUAAUAGAAUGAUUUCCACAUUUUUAGAGCAGUAUACCUCUUCAUUGUGGAGCUUCCCAAGUUCAACUGAGGAAAACAUAGCGGUAGCAAUGGAGACUGUUUCAGUUUCGGCAUGCAUUCUUCACAUCCCAAAUCUCAAGCCGCUUAGUUAUUGGUAAGAAGAUCACCACUUGAUUCCAUGUCACCAAGGAAGCGAUUAGCUUAUAGUCUCUUACUACACAGUUUGAAGGUGGACCAUUGGAGGGUACAAAGUAGAUAGAAGAACAUGUUCAGUUCAAGAAGGGUUAUUAUUAUCAGGGGAUGAUGAUCCGAACAAGCUUUAUAAAAUUAUGUAGAAGGUCAAUGGCAUUUGUCUUGUCAAAGUUUUUACAUGGCUAAUAUUUAGUGUUAAUUAACUUUCCCCGCCGCAAAGCAGGUGGUAUUCUUACUAAAGUUUGUAUACAUUACGCC